CUGAGAUUAUGUCAAAUUUCAGUGAUCGGAAAUGUCUUGCCCAAAAGCAAUUCCCGCUGGAAAAAGUCAAAAGGGUUCCUGGCAUUAAAAAGACCUUGCGUCAUUCCUGAUGAAAUUAGCAGCGUCGCAUGUUUAGGGACUGCUAUGGAUGCACUUUGGUCAAAGUGAAGAGGCAGGGAUUUGGGGUUUAAGCCCCCGUCUGGUCAGUAGCCGUCUGCUUUCACUGGCUGCGAACCCCGGGACCAGCACUUGAAAGCAUCUCAGACCCGCAGUCCAUUUUUUACUUGUCUUUAAGUGCAUGCGAUGGGAAUUGCUAACCUCGGCUAAGGAAAUUUCAUUUCCCCUAUCCUGCUAAACGGUUCUGGUCGACAUAUGUUUGUUAUCAGAGAGAAGUGCUAUGAACACAGAGCCAUUUUCUUAGCAGCUCUUUGACUCUGCGUUACCAUAGUCCCACACGGCAUUGGUCCUUUCCCGUUGGGAAGUCAUGAAUAAGAGACUAUGAGGCUUGCACGUCAGAUCUUCCUCAAUUAAUCCACCAUUAGCAUGUUUGGGAUCCUCUACUGGAUGGUUAACAGCAGCUUUGGUAACUGUAUGCUGUCCAUACCCAAUUAUGCUCUGCUAAAAAUGAACUCUGCAGAACAACCUUCCUGAGCUGUCAGUGUCUCCCGUUUUCCUAUUUUAACGCUUGUGUGUAGUGGCAGGCGACAGAUGGUGUAGAUCAGAUCGAUUUGAUUGCAUUAGACGAUUUUUUUUCCCUCCUCUCCCCCCCGACUCCUUUUCUGGAAGCCCACAUUCAGCUGAGAGGCGACCGCCGGGGACACGGGAAGCGAGAGCAGCCGCCGAGGUGCGAAUGCAGCGAGCCGCGGCCGUGGAGGCGCCGGGUCCUGCCCGGGUGGAUCCGUGCUAAUCCGGCGCCGGGAGGGAGCAGCUUCUGCCUCCCGGAGCCCGUCCCCAGCGCACGUCAGAUGACUCCCCGGUUUUACACACGGUUGGAGUUCUGCUCGAAACCUGGAUUUAAAGGGAAUCUGUUGCCGUGUGUGACAUCUCUUGCGAGCUCCCAGAGAGAACUGAUGGAGCAUACAGCUAGGGAAUAGGAUGCUGGAGAAGCUCAGGGGGAGACGCCAGGCAAUCACCAGGACGGGGAGGAACGGCGCUCGUUGGAUAUGGGACGAGAUCUCGCAGCCCUUGUGGAUUCUCCUUCCUCUAGAGGGGAAUUAUAGUUAUGGAUUUAUUGUCCCGGUGCAGCACUUCCACCAGCGGCAGCAGCAACAGCAGCAGCUUUCUGACUCUCUUCGGUGACGGGUAUUCUUGGGUGGAUAAUACGGAUUACGUUGUUAUUGCUUAAGAAUACGCGUAGUCGAGGAGAGUACCGGCGGCGGGCAGGCAGGCAGGCAGCGCGACCGCCCCCAGCCCUCCAGCUGGCUCCUACAGCCUCUAGUUGCCAAGGCUCCUGAAAGAGGGUCAGGGGUGACCUCUGAGCCCCUCUAAAACCAAAGCCUCAUGUCCAUGCUCGCUAACAUUACCAGUUCUGCAAGGGACUUGCAUCGUGCUGAAGUGUGGACACAUGAGAGGAGAACAACACAUCUAGUACGGCACAGCUUGGAGGAGUGGUAUUGUGUGCUCCAGAGAUGUGAGAGGAAUUGCAGGUGAGCCCCAGACCUGCCCGUGGUCAGCACUCUCUGACUUCGGCCCCACCAUGUAGAUGGAGCAACGUCCUGUGUGCCCGGCUGCUGCAUGGAGCUGCCCAUGUGCUGGCACCCUGACCCAGCAGAGAUGCUGCCAGUGCCGGCUCCACCCUGCUCGCUGCUGCCUGCCCACCUGUCUCCUUCCCCCAAGCCAUGGCCCACACCACCACCACCACCGGCAUCUCCGUCGCUACCCACAGCACAAAUGCAACAUGGAACAGCGAGUGUGGCUUGAGCAGGCUGAGCUUGUUAAAAUUGCAGUUAAAUAAAUUGUAGGGCUGUAAUACUGGGAGGCUGAUUGGGAUCACAAGAUAUCGGUGUCAUAUCCUGUGGCUUUUAUGUAGUGAGAUGUAGAUUUUUGCCAUCACCAUCUGGCUAUCCAACAGAUAACAACCAGAGAAAAUGGACUUGCAAAUCUCCAGUUGUGAAUAACUGAUAUAUUGUUGCCAGUAAAACGAGGACCUGGUAAACUGCCAGAAGGAAAAGUUUUUUUGAGUAUGAUCAGACUUUUAAUAUGUGUCAGCUUUUGCCUAUGUGUAAAUUAAAGAAACUCCCUAAUUACCAUACAUUUUAAACAGUGUGUCUAGAGAACUCUGGUCCUGUAGAACCCAGAUGUGGCUAUGUUAUCAGCUUCAAAUUCAGGCAAGUAAAUAAAGUAGCAAAUGUACGACUCAACUGGUGUAUCUGCACAGUACAGAUCAUCUAGGUGUGGGUUAAAUGCUAUGAGGAAAGAACAAGAAAUAAGCAAAAAAUACAGUAGUGUAGAAUAUGCAUGUUCUUAACUUCUAGAAAAUCUCAACAGCUGGAAUUUUAGAAUGUGAUAUUUAGACAAAUGUAAAGAGAGAAACAGUGUGUUUUUCUCUGGAGAAAAAUGUAAUAGGUGUACAGAUCAAAUUAUAACACUUAGUCCUUCUAGGACAAAUUCCAGUUGGGGAUCGUGAAGUAAUCUGAAAAUAUUAAUGAUUUAGCCUCACAGCUAGAUUUCAGGUAGAUAAUAAUAAUUAUUGCUACAAAUAAUUUCCUUCAUUCUUGCUCUGAAAUGAAAAUUGAGGCAUAGAGGUUUUAUGUAUUUGUCCAAAGUCCAUUUUACUGCUGUAACCAUCCUUCUAUAGAUUUACUUCGUAUUAAGUAUGCCCUUUUCCAAAUAUUGUAUGUGAUAUACUAUUCAGUUCAUGAAUUCUAAAAAACAAGCAGCUGAUCUUCCUUAUGAAGCAGUGCCUGUGAACAUCUCCAUUUGCAUUUGAAUCCUCAAGCAGUGACAAUCCUGCUUAAAAAAAAAAAAGAAAAAGAAAAAGGGAAUGAUGAAAAUCAGAACAAAAUCUGUCAAGGGCCCAUCUGUGACUGCAUAUCAGAAUAUCACUAAGAUGCUCUGAGGAACAAAGUUGUCUCCAAGUCUAACACAUAGUGCUUUUGUCUACGGAAAUAAUUCAAGAUGGGUGAAAUGAGGGCAAAUAACAUGAAAAACUGUUUCCCUACUGAACAGUCCUGGAAAGCAGCACCUUUGUUUCAUGGAUAAUCUUGUUUGUGAUACACGUACCAGUGCUUAGAUACUAAAGGUUUUACAUGACGAAAUACUCAGCAUGCCCAUAUCUGCUUCAGAUAAGCAUGCAUAGCUGUUGCUUCCAGUCAAGAGUCAGGGAGCCAGGGGUCUUUGGCCCUGGCAGGUGAGAACUUGGGUUAGGUAUGUCUGUGGCAAGCUUUCAUAGCCUGCUACCUGAAGCACUGGGGAAACAAAAGGAUAGACUCCACCCUGGACUUAACAAUACUCUUGAAACCACAUCUAUUUCCUUCUAAAUAGGAACACAUAAAGUUAGGAAAACCUAUUUGUAAGCUAUUUAUAUGUCCUCUUCAGGAUCUGAAUUCCUGCAAGCCUUAGUCAUAGCUCUUUGCUCUCACAUAUGCAAUAUCUGGAACUGACAACUGGAAAUAGGAGAAACAUGGCAUUAAUGUUGUUCUAAUGCACUGUGGGUUUUUUUUCCUUCUAUUUCUUAACUGUUACAGUAUGCAAAUAUUUAGUUAACUGGUCCUCAUGGUUUCUUUUUAUUGAAUUGCUUUCACUAUGGCAAAUAAAUAUUCAUAAAGAAAUGUGGACAAUAAAUCAUUUCCAAUAGUUCAAACCAUUUUCUUUCUAGACUGCAUAUAUAUUCAGCUGUGACUUGCCUUUAAUAUUUAAUUCAAAAGACAGACUUGUAGAAGGACAAUAGAGAUAAUGUGUCAAGCAAUAAUUAAAACAGGGGGUAUGAUUAAAACCAUUUUGAUCUACACUGUGCUCUGUCAAACUCAUAAUCUGCCAUGUUUGCUUAGAUGAUUCUCCACUUGCUUUGUAUGGAACCCAAAAUAAACUUUUGUUUGAAGAUACUGCACAGAACAAAAGAUUUCAACCCUAAGCUUUUGGGACCUGGAGACCUUCCCUGCUCUGGGCUUUGGGUAUGUCUUCUCUAUCAUCCUCACAAGACAAAUCUCAGGCAGCCAUCAUCCCUCAAUUUAACAUGGUGACUUCCCUCGGAAGUAGGUCCAUAUACGUGGCACAAUACAACUAGGGGACAAUCCAAUGUAACCUGGUUCACCAUUUAGACUGAAGCUAAGAGCUCCAAAAGAAGUGCAAGUUAAAGAUACAGGGAGUUUAUACACUUGGGGACCCUGGUUCAAAUUCAAAUUCAAAUAAGAGUGAUAUUUCUUGUUUCACUGUGUGUUUUGGCCACCAAAAUACACCUUGUAUUUGUCCCAGCUUCAUUAUCUUUUCUGAUUUGUUGCUGAUUUUGGGCCAUAACUCAAUAGAGCACUUAUGUACAGACUUAAAGAAAUUGAUUUAAGAAAACACUACUCUGUUUAAUCCUGGGCAGACAUUCAACUUUGAAAUCAAUGGGACUUAUGAACAGCCCUGACCUUGGGGUCUAAAUGGUUGCUGAAUCAGUGCAUUGACAGAAACAUACUGGAAAAGAUAAUAUCCAUGUCUAAUCAGAAUGAUCGUCUCUACUUUCAUGGGAAAUUACCCAUAGAUAACACAUUAUUCUGCUCAAGAAAUCCAUUUUAUAGCAGUUAUUAGAAAACCUUAACACAUUUUCUGUUUGUCAGACAUACUAGGUGAACAGUGUCUCUCCUUGAUAGUGUAUCUGAACUAUACUUCAAAUGAAAAAAUAAAUUACAGGAAAAGUGCUGUCACAAGGGACCAUUUCUAAUUAUUUACUGAGUCUUUCCCAGUUGCCUGCUAUGUGCCAGACUUUUGGGAAACAUGUGGACAGAAGACAAAGCAGUGCGGUUCUGAAAUCCCACGGACUCAGUCAAAGACAAUAGCACAUGAAAUACCAUGUUAUGCAAUAUCACGUAAACAAAGCUAUCUCCUAAGAACUGCACUCACAAGGGAUGCCUGCCCAGUCUACAUAUAGAAUUCUAAGUGAACACAUUCUUAUUACACUGAGAAAAUGGUAAGAAUAAAAGGUGUUUGUUUCUGGUAUAAUAACGUACAGAUUGCACUACUUAAGUGCAACUGUGGCUGAAUCCACAUAGUUAAAAGAAGUAAGUAAAGUAGUUGAUGUUAUACUGCAUGAAAUAAAAAUCUUCUUGCCAUUCCUAAAAAUGUUUUACACAAGUCAUUUUUAUUAUAAUUAGAAGUUGGCAAACAGGAUAUCUUAGAUGCUGCUUAUAGAGCUGAAACGGGUUUAAGAGGGGAAAUAAAUUAUAAUGGGUUCUAUUACCUCAUCUAAUUCAGUAAAUGAUGAGCAUGAAGACCCUGAGAAGACAUGGAAAGCAUUAGUGAGUUUUACCUCUCUCUGCAACCCUGGACAGACACCAUGAUUCACAUGAUUCCACUGUUUCUAGGACAAAGCUUAGGAGUAAUACAUAAAAAAAACAGCUGUACUAUUUUAACUGGAUUCAUACUAGUGGAGACUCACAUGGCUACCCGUACCUAUCCUGAUGCUGCCUACUCUAGAGCUGAUGAGUCAGGAGUAUGCAGCUGCUGUAUUGCAUGCUCAUUGCUAACAAGCUCUCUAUACUGCCUGUAAGCCUCUGAGUCAACAUUCCAUUAAUCAAAGGGUAGAAUGUAAUGGGAAAGAACAGGAGGGUGGGAUUUGUCUUCCUAUAUAAUUCUUAAGUUACCAAAAAAAAAAAAAAAAAAAAAAAAAAAUUAAAAAAAAAAUCAAAGCUUCUGCCCCUUUUUUCUCAUGUCAUCUACUUUACCCUCAGAGUAGGUGAGGUUAGAGCAAAUCUGCAUUCUAAACCAGGUGCUGCUUCUGAUUGUCUUCCCACAUAUAGUCAUGAAUUGGAGCUAACACCUGUUCUCAAUGAAAUCAGUAAGUACCUAGCAGGACCAACAAGCUUAUAGAGCUCAAGGUGAGGAACAGCUCUUUGUUUGCUUGAGGGCUUUUUCCACCAUGAAGGCUAUCUAGAAGGAGUAAUACAGGUAUAACAUGAUGUUAGGCCCUUCUUCAUUAGUUCUUCGGUUUCUGCUGGAAUCUCGCUGACUUGGAGCAAGCAUUGAUUUAGAGACCAGGUCCAACGGUAUGAGAAGCACAUUAGGAGACUGAAAAGGAUGAAGUGCAUAUGGAGGAAAGACUCUUGGACCAGUGCAAACCAAGGACAUCAACUUAGCAGUUCUCAAGCUUAGUAAUACUGGAUUUGUCUACAGAUGUCAUCGCUAGAGACUGGAGGAAGAGACAGAUUUCUGUCCCCUAAAAUAUCCUAAAGAAACAUUUGGUGGCAUUUAAAUAGGAAAACAUUAUUUGAUGCCAGAAACAAGCUUUAUUUUUUUUAAUAUUUCUUUGAAUUGCUUGAUAGUGAUUAUCAAAGAUGUUUGUGCUGUGAAAAUAUGUGGGUUCCUUUUGCUUGUUUUUUUAUUUCCCAAGAUAAUCAUGUUGAAACUUGUAGUCCUUGCUACAUCUAAAAAAAAAUAUAAAGCAGUUCAGGGAAACAAGCUUUUGUUUACAGUGGCACAGAUGGCUGGAAUAAAUUAGUGGACUUGCUAAAGAACAGUUCAUUUUAGUUUUAAAUGCAUUUGGACACUUAUGAAAGCUCACAUGGUGGCCAUUUUGUUAUUUAUUCAUCUAUUUGGGCUUUACAAUUCCAUGCCUAAAGGCUAUGCCUGAGUUAUGGACAGGGGUUCUCCCUAGCAGAAUUCAUAAUUAUGUACAUCUCACACUUAAAGUGUCUGUACUCCUGUACUGUGAUGCACCCUGUGUUACUCUGUGCACUACUCCUUCCGAAAAACACUGCUCAAUUGUAACAGGACAGAUUAGAAAGGCAAGGACAUUGGUGUGAAUGUUUUACUUUGAACAUUUUUUGUCAACAUGUGAGUUGACAAGCCAGACUGAAAAGAAGAAAACUGAGAGGUGCAAAUCUGUGCACUCUUAUAGAUGCUCAAAGAGUGCAUAGGAGAACAACCUGGGUCCAGUUCUGCCUUUCUUGAACCCUGUGAAUUUGAGAUGACCCCCUACAGGUGAGUAAUCUGGGCUGAGAAAUCAGAAGUUCAGAUGCUGGGAGAUGCUAGCUAUGAGACUGUAACUGUCACUCCUUGUGUGCAAUGAGGUGACUGAUCCUACGGUAAAGAUAGUGUGCAAUUAAAGCACAGCAGUCCCAAGCUACAACUGCACAGCAAAUUAUAGUCUGGAAUAUCCUGAUUUCUGACACUUGAACUGAUGUGAAUUAGGGGCAGUUUUGGAGGAAAAUGUGGGAACUUGCUUGCAUGAGAUGUCAGUACACCAAGACCUCUAGGCUCACUAAUACAUCACUGCCAGAAUUUGAAUGCUGAACUUUCAGAUCUACAGCCUUACCCUUUAAACUCACAGAUUAACUGCUGCAGUGGCUGGAGGAGGAAUGGUUUGUUUUAGAUUGCAGGCUGUGUUCCUGGAACCACUCAGAGUGGAAGGGCAUGGCCUUGCUCUGCUGCUGCUCUGCCCUCCCAGCAAGCAGCUGUCCUUGCAC
ensembl:lncRNA